rnacentral:rRNA from 1 species
UACGUAGGGUGCAAGCGUUGUCCGGAAUUAUUGGGCGUAAAGGGCUCGUAGGCGGUUUGUCGCGUCGGGAGUGAAAUCCACUGGCUUAACUGGUGGCUUGCUUUCGAUACGGGCAGACUGGAGGUAUGCAGGGGAGAACGGAAUUCCUGGUGUAGCGGUGAAAUGCGCAGAUAUCGGGAAGAACACCCGUGGCGAAGGCGGUUCUCUGGGACGGUACUGACGCUGACACGCGAAAGCGUGGGGAGCGAACAGG